CCCAUGCUUACUCUUGGGUGAAUGCGGGUGCUGGCAGCUUGGCAGGAUGAAGAUAGUGUUGACUGCUGCCAGGAGCCCAAACUUUUGAUUUCAUCACUUGUGUAUGUUUGUGUAUCCACCCCCACCAUCAUGAUACGGAGCAGUUCUAACAUCCCAAGGAUGCCCUUCUCCUGCAACUGCAAUCAGGGGGGCUUCAAGUGUGAAAUGUGAGAGACUAAAGACAGGGUCUUUCUGCAAGAAACCAAGGAGACACCUGGUACUUAGCCAGUUUAGAGAAGAACUGCGUGCCCUUCUCAGCAGGAAACAACCUCAGCUCAACAACCUUGGUAACAGGAAACAACCUCAGGAAUACAACAGAUUGCUGGGGGAUGUGAAUACAUGAAAAGUACAGGGACUGAGCAGGAUUGCCUAGGUUACAAAUAAAUAAAUAAAAUCUCCAAAUCUUAGUGUCUGAAGACAACACGUUUAUUUCCUGCUCGCCUCCAUCAUGGUUGGCAGGGACCAUUGGAUGUAGUCACUUAGUAAUUCGGGUCAGUGGGUCGCUUUGCUACCAGCCAGGGUUGGUCUCAGGGGCUUAGUCCCCAAACACAAGGGACAGGAAGGGCAGUCUAUCCUGUGCCUGAAAGGGGUGGUGGUGAUUGAUGAACAACUGUAAGGACAACCACAGGCUUCCCAGUGGCUCAGAUGGUAAAGAAUCUGCCUGCAAUGUGGGAGACUCAGA